rnacentral:lncRNA from 1 species
AUUUCGGUUAUAGAGGAAGAGGUGGAAGACAUGGUAGAAGAGGUCAGUUAUCAUUCCUUCCAAGAGAAAGGUCAAGAGGCAAUUUUAAUCAUCAUUCCAAUCAACAAAGCUUUGACAAGAAAAAUGUACAAUGCUUCAAUUGUCACAAGUAUGGGCACUAUAGCAAUGAAUGUUGGGCAAAACAAGACAAUGAAGUUGGAGAGCAAGCUAAUAUCGUUGAGAAAGAGAGUAUUGAUGGG